rnacentral:rRNA from 1 species
GUGGGGAAUAUUGGGCAAUGGGCGCAAGCCUGACCCAGCAACGCCGCGUGAGGGAAGAAGGUUUUCGGAUUGUAAACCUCUGUCCUUGGUGACGAAAAAAAUGACGGUAGCCAAGGAGGAAGCCCCGGCUAACUACGUGCCAGCAGCCGCGGUAAUACGUAGGGGGCGAGCGUUGUCCGGAAUUACUGGGCGUAAAGGGUGCGUAGGCGGCGCUUUAAGUUGGAUGUGAAAUGCCCGGGCUUAACCUGGGACCUGCAUUCAAAACUGGAGUGCUGGAGUGCAGAAGAGGGAAGCGGAAUUCCUAGUGUAGCGGUGAAAUGCGUAGAUAUUAGGAGGAACACCAGUGGCGAAGGCGGCUUUCUGGUCUGUAACUGACGCUGAAGCACGAAAGCGUGGGGAGCAAACAGGAUUAGAUACCCUAGUAGUCC